GAGCCCGUAGCUCAGCCGGCUAGAGCAUCUGACUUUUAAUCAGAGGGUCCUGGGUUCGAGUCCCAGCGGGCUCACCA
rnacentral:tRNA from 8 species